AGGGUCCUCGUGGAAUACAGGGGGCCAAGGGUUCGAGAGGCAGCCUGGGCCACAGAGGCAAGAAGGGUCAGCCUGGAGAUUUGGGCCUGAAAGGGGACAUUGGAUCAAUAGGCCCCAGAGGACCACCAGGAGCAGUUGGAGAGUAUGGCUAUGGGUCUCCCGGUCCAAAGGGACGGAAGG